UACGGAGGGAGCUAGCGUUAUUCGGAAUUACUGGGCGUAAAGCGCACGUAGGCGGCUUUGUAAGUUAGAGGUGAAAGCCUGGAGCUCAACUCCAGAAUUGCCUUUAAGACUGCAUCGCUUGAAUCCAGGAGAGGUGAGUGGAAUUCCGAGUGUAGAGGUGAAAUUCGUAGAUAUUCGGAAGAACACCAGUGGCGAAGGCGGCUCACUGGACUGGUAUUGACGCUGAGGUGCGAAAGCGUGGGGAGCAAACA
rnacentral:rRNA from 1 species